rnacentral:misc_RNA from 1 species
ACUUCUUUCCUGCAACAUUGCAAAUAAAACUGUAACGUAAGAGAACAACUUAGCUCAAAUUCAACUCAGUCAGGCCUUGAUCCCAAUCUAGUUGGAGUUGGAUAUUGGAAACAAAUUCCAAAAUCUUAUAUAGCAUACAAAGUGUUGUCAUCUUCUUCUACAUGAUGAUCUGCAAUGUGUAUCAUCCUAAAGAUAGCCAACUUCGUGUUCUAAUG